rnacentral:rRNA from 1 species
UACGUAGGGACCGAGCGUUGUCCGGAAUCAUUGGGCGUAAAGAGCGUGUAGGCGGCCCCUUAAGUCCUGCGUGAAAUCCUGAGGCUCAACCUCAGAACUGCCUUCGAUACUGGCAAUCUCGAGUCCGGAAGAGGUUGGUGGAACAGCUAGUGUAGAGGUGAAAUUCGUAGAUAUUAGCUAGAACACCAGUGGCGAAGGCGGCCAACUGGUCCGGUACUGACGCUGAGGUGCGAAAGCGUGGGGAGCAAACAGG